rnacentral:misc_RNA from 1 species
GAUGAAGAACGCAGCGAAAUGCGAUAAGUAAUGUGAAUUGCAGAAUUCAGUGAAUCAUCGAAUCUUUGAACGCACAUUGCGCCCCCUGGUAUUCCGGGGGGCAUGCCUGUUCGAGCGUCAUUACAACCCUCAAGCUCUGCUUGGUAUUGGGCCCCGCCAGUUCUGGCGGGCCCUAAAAUCAGUGGCGGUGCCUUCCGGCUCCGAGCGUAGUAAUUCUUCUCGCUCUGGAGACCCGGUUGUGUGCUUGCCAACAACCCCCAAUUUUUUAAGGUUGACCUCGGAUCAGGUAGGGAUACCCGCUGAACUUAAGCAUAUCAAUAAGCGGAGGA